rnacentral:lncRNA from 12 species
UUCAUCUGGAAAACAUUCAUUCAUCCUUUGGGUUAAAGCCUAGACAUUAGUUUCUCAGGAAUCCUUCUCUGACCACCCCAGUAACUCCUAUGUAUUUCUCUAGAACCCCAUAUCUCACCUACACAGGGUUCCUGGCCAGUUCCCAUAUUACACUCUCAACCUCAUGGAGGAAGACACUACUCUGUCUCUUUAACUAAUGAACCUUCAGCACACAGCUGACCUCAUGGCACAUGAAAGGUGCUUAAAAAUGAUGUUUGCUUCCCAUUUUUGAAAAUAUUCAGUCAUUAAACCUAUGAACGCUGGCCACCACUUCUGUGUGUGGUGAGUAAACCACAGUGAGCAGAAUAAACAAAACUCCCUCCUCGGGUGUCAGAGGGUCAGAGACAGACAAUAAACAAGACAGACAAGUAAUAAAUAAUCACAAAAUUGCAAGCAUUAUGAAGAGAAUUCACUGAGAAGGAGAACAGGGGAAAAUCUGUAUAAAUAGAGAAGUAACAGAGUUGGGAGUUGUUUUUUAAACAGAAUGAGCGGAAUAUGUCCUUGUGAAGAGCACACUGCGUGAGCAAAGGCCCCUGGUUUGCUUUCAUUUUGGGGAGGUCAUCUCCUCCUUGCCUGAAAGGAGACGCUCAGCGAGUGAAGGGAACGACUGUGUAAGAAGAGGCUGAAGAAUUCAGCGAAGUCCAUUCUUUGCAGAGACUUGCUGUCAAAUAAUAAUUUACUCCUCUAACUCAAAAUAAUAAUAAUAAUAACAAUAAUAAUAAUAAUAAUAAUUUACCCCUCUAACUCAUGUUCAGUAAGUUUCAAUCUUCUAGUUAUGGUUCACAAUCAGAUUCUUACUGUGCAUUAUUUUUUAUUCAGUCGUUUUAAUUCCAUAUAGUAAACAUUUUUAAGUCAUACUUUAGUAGUGCUUUUAUCUUUUCUAAAAAUAAAUUUUUAUAUACUUUGCUAGUCAGUAUGUUUGUCCUUUGUUUAACACAACAAAAGAGCCUUGAAGAUAUAGCCAAAGAGAAACCUAAAGAAGAUACCUUAUCAUUAUUUUUUUUUAUGGCUCAUAAAUGUAUCCUUGCCCCAAAGCAGACAACCAUGUUCAGCAUGGUUUUAGAUCUUCUGACCCAUUAAAAAGUAGGCUUCUUUAUAUUUGUUAUGUACUGUGCCUGGUUUAAUUCAACAAACUACCUUCUCACCCCUAAUGCUCCCCCCCAAUUUAAAAAAUUUCCCCUUUCCUAGGGAUUGAACUCUUAUUUUUUCACUCAGAAUUUCUUUUUCGAUCCAUCAUAGGUAAAUACACUUUCACAGAUUUCUUUUUUCCCCUAUAAUCUUUUCUGCAAAUGAAAACCUUUUCUUGAUAUUUCUAAGAUCAGUUACUGCCAGCAGCAACGUCACUUGUCUAUUUUCCAACUCAUUUGAACCUACGAGGAAAAUGUACACGUGCAGGGGAUAAUGAAGGACAACGUAUGAAGAAAUUCCUCAUACAAUGUUUGUAGACAGAAAGAGAGGUAAUUUAAAGUUUAAUUAGUUAAUCAAAUAGUUAAUCUUUUGCUUUGAAGGUGGAGAUGUGUUCACCUUAAACCUUUUUUAAUUGAAAUGUAAUUGGUGUACAAUGUUAUUUUUGUUUUUGGUGCAUAGCGUAGUGAUUUGAUGUUUAUAUACAUUAGGAAGUGAUUACCACAAUGAAUCUAGUUGCCAUCUGUCAUCAUAUAAAGUUGUUACAAUAUUAUGGAUUAUAUUCCUAUGCUGUACAUUAGAUACCCACAUCUUAUUUAUUUUCUAACUGAAGACUGUUAUUUAUUAUUAUUAUUAUUAUUAUUAUUAUUAUUAUUUUAACAGAUUAUAUUUAUUUGAGAGAGAGGGCGAUAGAGUGUGUGAAAGCGGGGGAAGGAGUUGGCGUAAUAGAAUCUCAAGGUGACUCCCUGUGAGCAGGAGCCUGACUCAGGGCUUGAUCUCAUGACCAGGAGACCAUGACCUGAGCUGAAAUCAAGAGUGAGGGCUUAACAAACUGAGCCACCCUGGCGCCCCUGGGUAGUUCUCAAUCCCCUUGUCCUAUUUCACUCAUCCUGCACUCCCUUCCUGCCUGGCAACCACCAGUUUGUUCUCUGUAUCUAUGAGUCUGUUUCUGUUCUGUUUGUUUGGUUUGCUUUUUAGGCUCUACAUGUAAGUGAAAUCAUACAGUAUUUGUCUACCUCCUGUGCCUGGUUUAAACAAACUACCUCCUCUCACCCCUACUGCUCCCUACCGAUUUUUGGCUUCUUGUUUAUAUAUUUACUUAGAGUUUAUUUAUUUAUUUUUAUUUGAGAGACAGAGAGUGUAAGCGAAUAGAGCAUAGGCAGGGGAGCGGCCGAGGGACAGGAGAGGCAGGCUCCUCACUGAGCAGGGAGUCUGAUGCAGGGAUCCAUGCAGGACUCCAUCCCAGGAUCCUGGGAUCUGACCUGAGCCCAAGGCAGCUGCUUAACUGACUGAGCCACCCAGGGGCCCCUUUGGCUUCUUGUUUAAACAAAUUAGUAGCUGUCACUAUGGCCUUUUAUUUUAAAUUACCAGCCUUUCACUUUUUCUCCUCUCCACAUCUUCUCAUCUGAAAUAUUUUGAAGUCAAAGAAUUAGCCUCUAUUUACCUCUUUAUAUUCAGCCUAAAAUAAAUUGCUAUAAAAUGUAGGUAGGAUGAACCA